GCUUUAAUAUGUUUGAGUUCGAAUGAUGAAGAGGAUCAAAGUGACAUCCCAAAAGCUCUUUUUGGUCUCCAAGCAAUCAUCAUCAGGAUGUAUCUAUCAUUUGAUCGUUACACAUGACUGCAUGCCAGGAAUGACAGGCGCUCAUCUCAUCAUAAUGAUUAAGAUACUAUAUAAUCUGUUGCCAUGUGUAUGAUCCCUUUUUGGUGCGGCUGGGACGUGUGAAUACCUACAAUAGUGAUACAUGACUAGAAUACUGGAUGUCUUUUGGAUGUUUAGCCACCACCUUCAUUUAUUGCAACAAUUCAGGAGUACCUGAAAAGCAACAUUAAGGGACUGGUGAGACAAUGUUCCUGGACCGACCAGCUUUUCUUUGAGAGAAAUCUCUUGGAGAUGGAAGAGUUGGCUUGGAGAAUGCCAAGAUUUCAAAGGACGACCUCCUUUCCCUUGCUAAGAAGGAUGAUAAAAGUUACCCUUAAUCUGUAACACCUAUACUUUUUAACGCUACCAGAACGUCAGUGCUGGUGGCCAUAUUAAUACGACAUGUUCUACUACAUAUAUUGCGAAUCAUAUGCAAUCGGAGUAUUGUACUUCAUUGUCUAGCCCUCAAAGCUUACUACUCAAACUAGCAUGAAUACAUCAAAGACUUGAAACCUGAAAUGAGCUUUUGAAACCCGUAGCAACGCGGGGGCACGAAUAAACUCAGAAGGAGGCUCCAUCACAAAUAGGCCAACAACUACCAUUUGUGAGGCAAGAUUGAGAUCGAGAAAGGGCAUGUUAAGGCGAGAAAAGAUACAGCCUUGUUCAAGGAAAUGGAAAACCAAGUUUAGGAGGUUGAUCUACUUUCAUCCUACUUUUUCCUCUGCCUUUGAAAAUUUUACUGUUUAUAAAACCACUAGAGUUUCCAGCCUACACUUUUGGGAUAUGUUUCAAACGCUGUUUGAUUUUACUUUGAAUCUCGAUAAAUAGAGCAAAGAUCAUGGAUCAUUUUCGGGGUUUAUUUUACAAUGUUUUCACUUUUAGACCAUUCUUGAUUUCAUGAAUUCAUAAUUCUUCUAUAUAUGAUCACUUUCAACAGCUUAUGUUAUGUUCGGAAUGAAGUGAUCUGCACUAAGACUUACCUAAGAUAAGAAUGGUUGUUUCCACACUCUAAAUCACAAGCCAUAUGUGGCCAGAGUUUUGAUGUAAAAAGAAA